rnacentral:miRNA from 1 species
CAAAGUUGAUCGUGUUUAUGACGUCGAUAUUCGACGUCAUAAACACCAAAGUUGAUCGUGUUUAUGACGUCGAAUAUCGACGUCAUAAACACCAAAA